AUAUAAUUGGUGACUCAUAAUAACUUUACGGAUCACAUUAAGUGUGACAUAUCGUUCAAGUUUCUGACCUAUCAGCUUUAGACGGUAGGGUAUUGGCCUACCGUGGCGAUGACGGGUAACGGGGAAUUAGGGUUCGAUUCCGGAGAGGGAGCCUGAGAAACGGCUACCACAUCUAAGGAAGGCAGCAGGCGCGCAAAUUACCCGAUCCUAAUACAGGGAGGUAGUGACAAGAAAUAACAAUACAGGACUUUUUGGUUUUGUAAUUGGAAUGAGUUAAGUAUAAACCCCUUUACAAGUAUCAAUUGGAGGGCAGGUCUGGUGCCAGCAGCCGCGGUAAUUCCAGCUCCAAUAGCGUAUAUUAAAGUUGUUGCAGUUAAAAAGCUCGUAGUUGGAUUUCUGUUAAUAAUUUAUAUAAAAUAUUUUGAAUAUUUAUAUAACAUUGACAUAAUUCAUAUUACUAUAUUUUUUAGUAUAUGAAAUUUUACUUUGAGAAAAUUAGAGUGCUUAAAGCAGGCAUAUGCCUUGAAUACUCCAGCAUGGAAUAAUAUUAAAGAUUUUUAUCUUUUUUAUUGGUUCUAAGAUAAGAAUAAUGAUUAAUAGGGACAGUUGGGGGCAUUUGUAUUUAACAGUCAGAGGUGAAAUUCUUAGAUUUGUUAAAGACAAACUAAUGCGAAAGCAUUUGCCAAGGAUGUUUUCAUUAAUCAAGAACGAAAGUUAGGGGAUCGAAGACGAUCAGAUACCGUCGUAGUCUUAACCAUAAACUAUGCCAACUAG
rnacentral:rRNA from 1 species